CCAGACUCCUACGGGAGGCAGCAGUGAGGAAUAUUGGUCAAUGGGCGUAAGCCUGAACCAGCCAAGUCGCGUGAGGGAAGACUGCCCUAUGGGUUGUAAACCUCUUUUGUCAGGGAGCAACGCCGGCUACGUGUAGCCGGACUGAGAGUACCUGAAGAAAAAGCAUCGGCUAACUCCGUGCCAGCAGCCGCGGUAAUACGGAGGAUGCGAGCGUUAUCCGGAUUUAUUGGGUUUAAAGGGUGCGUAGGCGGCCUGCUAAGUCUGGAGUGAAAGGUACCGGCUCAACCGGUAUAGGCUCUGGAAACUGGCGGGCUAGAGAGCAGGAGAGGGCGGUGGAACUCCAUGUGUAGCGGUAAAAUGCGUAGAUAUAUGGAAGAACACCAGUGGCGAAGGCGGCCGCCUGGCCUGUUACUGACGCUGAGGCACGAAAGCGUGGGGAGCAAAUAGGAUUAGAUACCCCUGUACC
rnacentral:rRNA from 1 species